UACGUAGGGUGCUAGCGUUGUUCGGAAUCAUUGGGCGUAAAGCGCGUGUAGGUGGUCGAUUAAGUCGGGUGUGAAAUCCCUGGGCUCAACCCAGGAAGUGCAUCUGAAACUAGUCGGCUAGAAGAUGGUAGAGGAAGGUGGAAUUCCAAGUGUAGAUGUGAAAUUCGUAGAUAUUCGGAGGAACACCAGUGGCGAAGGCGACCACCUGGACAAAGACUGACGCUGAGGUGCGAAAGCGUGGGGAGCAAACAGG
rnacentral:rRNA from 1 species